rnacentral:rRNA from 1 species
AUCGUUUAUUUGAUAGUACCUUACUACUUGGAUAACCGUGGUAAUUCUAGAGCUAAUACAUGCUAAAAAUCCCGACUUCGGAAGGGAUGUAUUUAUUAGAUUAAAAACCAAUGCCCUUCGGGGCUCACUGGUGAUUCAUGAUAACUCCUCGAAUCGCAUGGCCUUGUGCCGGCGAUGGUUCAUUCAAAUUUCUUCCCUAUCAACUUUCGAUGUUUGGGUAUUGGCCAAACAUGGUUGCAACGGGUAACGGAGGGUUAGGGCUCGACCCCGGAGAAGGAGCCUGAGAAACGGCUACUACAUCCAAGGAAGGCAGCAGGCGCGCAAAUUACCCAAUCCCGACACGGGGAGGUAGUGACAAUAAAUACUGAUACAGGGCUCUUUUGGGUCUUGUAAUUGGAAUGAGUACAAUUUAAAUCCCUUAACGAGGAACAAUUGGAGGGCAAGUCUGGUGCCAGCAGCCGCGGUAAUUCCAGCUCCAAUAGCGUAUAUUAAAGUUGUUGUGGUUAAAAAGCUCGUAGUUGAACCUUGGGCCUGGCCGUCCGGUCCGCCUCACCGCGUGUACUGGCUCGGCCGGGCCUUUCCCUCUGUGGAACCCCAUGCCCUUCACUGGGCGUGGCGGGGAAACAGGACUUUUACUGUGAAAAAAUUAGAGUGCUCCAGGCAGGCCUAUGCUCGAAUACAUUAGCAUGGAAUAAUAGAAUAGGACGUGUGGUUCUAUUUUGUUGGUUUCUAGGACCGCCGUAAUGAUUAAUAGGGACAGUCGGGGGCAUCAGUAUUCAAUUGUCAGAGGUGAAAUUCUUGGAUUUAUUGAAGACUAACUACUGCGAAAGCAUUUGCCAAGGAUGUUUUCAUUAAUC